CGGGGCGUAGCGCAGUCCGGUUAGCGCACCUGGUUUGGGACCAGGGGGUCGCAGGUUCGAAUCCUGCCGCCCGAC
rnacentral:tRNA from 1 species